rnacentral:rRNA from 1 species
AAUUGACCUCGGAUCAGGUAGGGAUACCCGCUGAACUUAAGCAUAUCAAUAAGCGGAGGAAAAGAAACCAACAGGGAUUGCCUCAGUAACGGCGAGUGAAGCGGCAACAGCUCAAAUUUGAAAUCUGGCCCCGUCGGGGUCCGAGUUGUAAUUUGUAGAGAGUGUUUCGGGUGAGACCACGGUCUAAGUUCAUUGGAACAUGGCGUCAUAGAGGGUGAGAAUCCCGUAUGUGACUGUGGCUCGAGCCCAUGUGAAGCCUCUUCGACGAGUCGAGUUGUUUGGGAAUGCAGCUCAAAAUGGGUGGUAAAUUUCAUCUAAAGCUAAAUACUGGCUGGAGACCGAUAGCGCACAAGUAGAGUGAUCGAAAGAUGAAAAGCACUUUGGAAAGAGAGUCAAACAGUACGUGAAAUUGUUGAAAGGGAAGCGCUUGCAACCAGACCUGUCCGUAGGUGAUCAGCCGCUGUUCUCAGCGGUGCACUCGCUCUGCGAUCAGGCCAGCAUCGGUUUCGGCGGUUGGAUAAAGGCCUUGGGAACGUAGCUCCCUUCGGGGAGUCUUAUAGCCCUCGGUGCAAUGCGGCCAGCCGGGACCGAGGACCGCGCUUCGGCUAGGAUGCUGGCGUAAUGGUUGUAAGCGACCCGUCUUGAAACACGGACCAAGGAGUCUAACAUCUAUGCGAGUGUUUGGGUGUUAAACCCAUGCGCGGAAUGAAAGUGAACGGAGGUGAGAACCCUUUAGGGCGCAUCAUCGACCGAUCCAGAUGUCUUCGGAUGGAUUUGAGUAUGAGCAUAGCUGUUGGGACCCGAAAGAUGGUGAACUAUGCCUGAAUAGGGUGAAGCCAGAGGAAACUCUGGUGGAGGCUCGCAGCGGUUCUGACGUGCAAAUCGAUCGUCAAAUUUGGGUAUAGGGGCGAAAGACUAAUCGAACCAUCUAGUAGCUGGUUCCUGCC